GACGAACGCUGGCGGCGUGCUUAACACAUGCAAGUCGAACGGAAAGGCCUCUUUCGGGGGGUACUCGAGUGGCGAACGGGUGAGUAACACGUGAGUAACCUGCCCUUGACUUUGGGAUAACUUCAGGAAACUGGGGCUAAUACCGGAUAGGAGCUCCUGCUGCAUGGUGGGGGUUGGAAAGUUUCGGCGGUUGGGGAUGGACUCGCGGCUUAUCAGCUUGUUGGUGGGGUAGUGGCUUACCAAGGCUUUGACGGGUAGCCGGCCUGAGAGGGUGACCGGCCACAUUGGGACUGAGAUACGGCCCAGACUCCUACGGGAGGCAGCAGUGGGGAAUAUUGCACAAUGGGUGGAAGCCUGAUGCAGCAACGCCGUGUGCGGGAUGACGGCCUUCGGGUUGUAAACCGCUUUCGCUCAUGACGAAGCUUUGUGUGACGGUAGUGGGUAAAGAAGAACCGGCUAACUACGUG
rnacentral:rRNA from 1 species